AGAGUUUGAUCAUGGCUCAGGAUCAACGCUGGCGGCGUGCCUAACGCAUGUAAGUCGAACGCAGGGUCUUCGGACCUUGAGUGGCGAACGGCUGAGGAACACGUACGAACCUGCCCGCUUGUGGGGAAUAACGCACCGAAAGGUGUGCUAAUACCGCGUACGCUCACACGAAAGUGUGAGGAAAGUCGCAAGACGCUGGCGGAGGGGCGUGCGGCCCAUCAGGUCGUUGGUGGGGUAAUGGCCUACCAAGCCGAUGACGGGUAGCUGGUCUGUGAGGACGAUCAGCCAGACUGGGACUGCGAAACGGCCCAGACACCUACGGGUGGCAGCAGCGAGGAAUCUUCCACAAUGGGCGAAAGCCCGAUGGAGCAACGCCGCGUGGAGGACGACGGCCUUCGGGUUGUAAACUCCUUUCGGAGGGGAUGAAACGGACAGUACCCUCAGAAGAAGCCCCGGCUAACUCUGUGCCAGCAGCCGCGGUAAUACAGAGGGGGCAAGCGUUGUCCGGAAUUACUGGGCGUACAGCGCGCGCAGGCGGACCGCGACGUGCCGUGUGACAAGCCACUGCUCAACAGUGGAGGGCCAUGGUACACGAGCAGUCUGGAGGCAGGGAGAGGGAUGUGGAAUGCCCGGUGGAGCGGUGAAAUGCGUAGAGAUCGGGCGGAACACCGCGGCGAAGGCGGCAUCCUGGUCCUGUUCUGACGCUGAGGCGCGAGAGCGUGGGGAGCAAACUGGAUUAGAUACCCUAGUAGUCC
rnacentral:rRNA from 1 species